rnacentral:misc_RNA from 1 species
UCCCCUCUUUCUUUUUGAUUAUGACGUUCUAAAUUGCCCUAAAAAUCUCUACUUGAAUGGUUGCCUCCACCCCCCUAAAGCUUAUUUAUUUAUUUGUACUUUCACUAUUCCAAGAAUCUUGAUCUUCAUUCAAUGGCACCCUGAUACUGUUUCCUAGUACUCUGUUUUGGGUUCAGGAUGCAAGUGAAACUGUUAAAGAUGGAAGCUUCUUGCAAUUUCUGCAGUAGCAUCUAUACUUUAGCUCCUAGUUGCCUCAG